CUCCCCCCUCUCCUUGAAAUCGGUUCUUGAUCUCCGCUCGCUUGUCGUGCGGCUCCGGCGAUUCCGAAUUCUUCAAAGCUAGAAGCAACCUCGAUUUCCCCACGAAUAACGGGGAACGAGCAGCGAAAUGGAGCAGAAUCGAGUAGUCCGGUGGCAGCGGCGCCCGAGGCCACAGAGACGGCGGGGGAGGCGGUGGAGAAGGGUGCCUGUGUGGCCACAGGCGUGGGGCGAUGCGGCGGCUGCGAGGCAGACGGGGAUGGCAGCGAGAGGGAGGGGGAUAGGAUGUGCCGGAUCUGCCACUUGAGUUCUCGUUCCGGGAGGGGGGUUCCGAGCUGAUCCUGCUGGGGUGUCGUUGCAAGGGCGAGCUCGGCUUCGCGCAUCGCCACUGUGCCGAGGCCUGGUUUGUGAUGUUGCGAGAUCUGUGGCGCCAAUGCGAAAAACAUCACAAUUGUUAUAGACAGCAGGGUUUUGGAGGAAGGCCAUGCCAGGAGAGAGUUGAACACUCAAAAUCCACAUGACAGCGGCGAGAGGAUCGUUUGUUGGUCGGCGGCGACAAGAAGAAAAAGGGGAAGCCCCUUUUCCUUGCUCUGUUCAGUGGCGGCAACAAAGAGGGGGAGAAGAGAAGUCACGGGAGAACGAAGAGAGAAAAAGAGUUUUAUUCAAUUAAAUUAAUUCAAAAGGUCAAUGGGUAAAUUAGUAAAUGUAAAAUUAAGUGGUUGCAUAACCUAAGUUGAACCAAACAUUUAAUAGGUUAUGUUUUAUUCCUGAUAACCUUGGUUAUGUAAUUACUUGGUAAUCACAUAACUAAGACUAUACAUGAUAACUUGAACCAAACGCACCCUUAAGAAUGUAAUGGUGGCCUCCCACUCAACGUUUUGAGCAUUGCAUGUUCACAUUGGUUUAAUAGAUUACAUUGCCCAAAA